UGUAUUAUUCGAUUAGGAGUAGAUCAUGGCUCAGGAUGAUCUCUCUCUCGCGUGCCUCAUACAUGCAAGUCGAGCGGUAAGGCCCCUUCGGGGGUACACGAGCGGCGGACGGCUGAGUAACACGUAGGAACGUACCCCAAAGUGAGGGAUAAGCACCAGAAAUGGUGUCUAAUACCGCAUGUGAUCUUCGGAUUAAAGCUCCGGCGCUUUGGGAACGGCCUGCGCAUGAUUAGCUUGUUGGUGAGGUAAUGGCUCACCAAGGCGAUGAUCAUUAGCUGGUCUGAGAGGAUGACCAGCCAGACUGGGACUGAGAACGGCCCCAGACUCCUACGGGAGGCAGCAGUAGGGGAAUUUUCCACAAUGGACGAAAGUCUGAUGGAGCAACGCCGCGUGCAGGGAUGAAUGCCUUCGGGUUGAAAACUGCUUUUACGAGUGACGAUUAUGGACGGUAGCUCGUGAAUAAGGAUGCGGCUAACUCCGUGCCAGCAGCCGCGGGUCAUACGGAAGGAUCCAAGCGUUAUCCGGAAUUACUGGGCGUAAAGAGUUGCCGUAUGUCGUCAUUGUAAGCUGGGUAGUGACAGCCGUUCCGGCUCAACCCGGGAUAUCCAAUUACUAAACUGGCAGACCUUCGAG
rnacentral:rRNA from 1 species